AUUGAACGCUGGCGGCAGGCCUAACACAUGCAAGUCGAGCGAGCGGCGGACGGGUGAGUAAUGUCUGGGAAACUGCCUGCUGGAGGGGGAUAACUACUGGAAACGGUAGCUAAUACCGCAUACCAUCUGAUUUGCCCAGAUGGGAUUAGUUAGUAGGUGGGGUAAAGGCUCACCUAGGCGACGCUCCCUAGCUGUCCUGAGAGGAUGACCAGCCGCACUGGAACUGAGACACGGGCCAGACUCCUACGGGAGGCAGCAGUGGGGAAUAUUGCACAAUGGGCGCAAGCCUGAUGCAGCCAUGCCGCGUGUGUGAAGAAGGCCUUCGGGUUGUAAGGCACUUUCAGCGGAGAGGCGUUACCCGCAGAAGAAGCACCGGCUAACUCCGUGCCAGCAGCCGCGGUAAUUC
rnacentral:rRNA from 1 species